UGCUGACGAGUGGCGAACGGGUGAGUAAUACAUCGGAACGUGCCCGAGAGUGGGGGAUAACGGAGCGAAAGCUUUGCUAAUACCGCAUACGAUCUACGGAUGAAAGCAGGGGACCGCAAGGCCUUGCGCUCAUGGAGCGGCCGAUGGCAGAUUAGGUAGUUGGUGGGAUAAAAGCUUACCAAGCCGACGAUCUGUAGCUGGUCUGAGAGGACGACCAGCCACACUGGGACUGAGACACGGCCCAGACUCCUACGGGAGGCAGCAGUGGGGAAUUUUGGACAAUGGGCGAAAGCCUGAUCCAGCCAUGCCGCGUGCAGGAUGAAGGCCUUCGGGUUGUAAACUGCUUUUGUACGGAACGAAAAGACUCUGGUUAAUACCUGGGGUCCAUGACGGUACCGUAAGAAUAAGCACCGGCUAACUACGUGCCAGCAGCCGCGGUAAUACGUAGGGUGCAAGCGUUAAUCGGAAUUACUGGGCGUAAAGCGUGCGCAGGCGGUUAUAUAAGACAGAUGUGAAAUCCCCGGGCUCAACCUGGGAACUGCAUUUGUGACUGUAUAGCUAGAGUACGGUAGAGGGGGAUGGAAUUCCGCGUGUAGCAGUGAAAUGCGUAGAUAUGCGGAGGACACCGAUGGCGAA
rnacentral:rRNA from 1 species